CUGCCAGUGGUCAGAAGAGCAGAAUUAGAAAUUAACAAAAGACCAACAAUCCCAGUAUUACUGCAAAAUAAAAAAUAGCUGAAUUCAAGUUCGUGUUUCAAUUUUAACAGAAAACUUUAAUCAGGUCCUAAGCUGAAUAUAUGUACCUAUUUCUCUUUUUUUCAUACAUUUCUAGGAAUGCUUUUCUUUACCAUACUAUGAUUACCACAGCUCUAACCAUUAAAGGGACAAGUUUGCACCAUAUAAAAGUGCACAUUAUUCCUCUUCCAUUAAACGUUGUAGAUGGCACUAUGCAGUCAGGCUUGAAGAGUUGAGAAGUUGGCAUCCUAUUGCAGCCAUUUUGAACGACACAGAGCUGCAGUACAGGGCAUUCUAUGGCUUGACUGAUUUAAUGGACCUGUCAAAAAUGGGUAAGAGACAUAUUGCCACAUCCACUAAUUAAAAUGGAUGCCCACAUGCCUUUUUAUCUAUGCAGUGUUACUUUGUUAAUGUUAAAGGAAAAUCCAGUCUUUCUCAAAGACAAGCAUUUCUUUCUAUAAUAUAUAUAUAUAAUAUUGAC